AUGAUGAACGGUCCUUGUGCUUGGAGCUGGAAUCCUCUGCCUCUAUGUCCUCCGGCCGCUGGGCCUCGGCCGGCCGCCUGGCGCUUCCCUCCCAGGGGCCAGCCUGCGGGGCAGGGGCGGCGUGGGCCGAGGGGGCUGGGGAGCCCCUGCUCCCUCGUCCUCUUCCUUUGGGAACUCUCAGUGCUCAAAACAAGCUUUCUGAGAACCAUAUUUUUCUGGGUUAAAGGUGAAAAAUGCAGCAUUUCCUCCAAGUGGAAAGCACUGGGCCUGCCAGCUCCGGGCACAUUUCCGAGAUCCUUCCUCCCACUCAGGGAGGAGGCCGCGCUCGCGAGGCGGAGAGGGGCUGAGGUGGGUGGUGCAGCCGGGCGGGGGGGCGGGGGGGGCACCCCGGGGCCUGUCUGGGUUGGCGCGGCCCGGAGGCUGGAACAGCACCGGGGCCGGAAGGGAAAAGCAAACAAGAGGGUAGGGGAGCAGGGCGGCCCUCCAGAGGGCUUCGGGGACAGCGUGGGCGCCACCAAGGCCCCGCGGGCCUUCCGGAAACAAACCCCGCGGCCGGGCUCAGGGGGAACAUGCGGGUGUGUGGAAGUCAGGUCAGUAGCAGAGGCAAGAACACCCCGCCCUCGCCUGCCCCCCCCCAUCCUUGCUCGGGACACUUGGGAGUCAGGAGGAUCGUCUCAGACCCUGACCGUGGGACAGAAGGUCCUCGGGCCCCGGGCUUCACGGUGCUCUCGUGCUCUCCGUGCCCCGGGACAGGCUCGCCUCCAGCGCCCGCGCUCAGCCCUCCCUGAGCCCAAGGCCCGGCGGCGUCGUCAGCGUUCCCGGGGGAGCCACCACGCAGGGCCUACGAGGCCCGUCCUCAGAAUCACAGCGCGGCUGCCAGGUGCCCGGCGGCAGGUGGAGGGGCACGGGGCCCCGUCUCCGGAGUGGGGGCCCCCGGCCGACCCCACCACUUCUCUCGGCCCCGCGGCCCCUCGCCCUUCCUCGAGUGACCUGGUCCCCGUCGCUCCCUGCAGAGGUGCAGGCUCCUGUCCCUUCAGUCUGUGCACUUGCUCCCGGAGGCGGCGGGGGACGCCUGGGGACACUUCCCAGGCCUUGCCCUCACUCGGUCUGUGCUCCUCUCCAGAGAGAAGGCGCCAGCCGGUCCCCUGGCCGGACUCGAGGCCCGCGUGGACGGGCCCAGCCGAGGCCAGAACCGUCGGGUCGAGCCCGGCCGAGCCCAGCGGAGCCGCGAGCCGUCCGCUCAGGGCCCGUGAGCGAUGA
rnacentral:lncRNA from 1 species